UGACCGCGACUCUCCAACGGUCCAGCCA
rnacentral:piRNA from 1 species